AAGCUUUAUCCGUACACCACAAUUUUCUCCUGGCUGUUUGGUUGUCGAGAAAAUGCAGGAAAAUGUUUACAUUUCCGAAUAUAAGCUCAAAGAAAGUGAAACGCAUUUAGUAUCUUUUCAGAUAAGGCAUGCAAGCUUCAAACAGUGAUAUCUUUCAGUGGUUGGUCGAUCUUUGGCUGAACUCACAUCAAUGACUUAAUGUACAUAGCAAAGUUUCUUCCGAGUGCUUGAUGAAAAUGAGUAUACAUGAUAGAUGAGCCUCCACUUGGAAUUCUGGCCAGCUACAUAUUUACACUCGUCCUCCAUAAUUCGGUAUUUAUGCAUUUACAUCCUGGUCCGUCCUCCCCCCCCAAAAAACAUUCUUCUCUUGGACUCAGUAGAAAACCCUACCAUAUUUGGUAUCUAUGUAUAUAGAUAGAGUCCUGGUCUUUUAUUUAGGCUGUCUAUUUACAUUUUUCUCUUAGACUUAAUAAAAAGAUCUUAUGAUUAAUCAAAAGAUAUAAAAAUCCUGUGAAAGUCCCUGCAGGGACAUCUGAUAAAGAACUUAAAAAGCUUGACUGGGAUUUGGAAAUGGUAACAAAAAGAUUUUGGGGAAUUCCGAGAAUCGAACUCGGGACCUCUUGCACCCGAAGCAAGAAUCAUAGCACUAGACCAAAUGCCCUGUUUAAGCACACAAUUUUGUUUAAUAUUUUUUAUUGUAAUCCAAAUAAUGGCUGGAUCUAUGGCAGGAUUGACAAAGUUGUAGUUUUAAAAUGAAAAUUAUAAAUAGAAAGUCAAUGAGCACAUGCCGCAUGAGGCAUUCUAAGAAUUGAACUCAGACCUCCCAUCCCAAAUUGAGAGUAUGUCACUUGAUCAAAUGCACUUUUUUUUUUUUCUUUAUGAGAUACAAGAUUUCAAUUUCUAAUUAAGACAUAUUAAAUUUUAGAUCUGAUCUUGUGCUAUCUACUCACCAAUGAUUUUUUUUUUUUAGAAUUACCUAUCCGUGACUUGUUUCAUCAAUCAUUUUGAUCUGAAAUAUUUUGAUUUAUGGAUUAUCUUGUGCUUGUCUAAAUAUUUUGAUCUGAAAUAUGUAAGUAUACAUGAUAGUUGAGCUUCUUUGUUACAUUCCAGCUACUUAAUUAUUCAGGCAUUCAUCCUCCAUCAUGAUAGAUGAGCAUCCUAGUGAAAUUACAGCUGAUUAAUUAUUCAGUUAUUUAUCCUCCAUCAUUUGUUCUCUCUAUAAAUAGACAAUGUUUCAGGUUGCUCACUUCAUUUUUAUCUUGAUCUAAAUAUAGUGAUCUGAUGAAUAAUUAAUGAAAUUUGGAAGUUUAAAAUAUGAGAAUGUAUACAUGUGAUUGAUGAAAUAGACAAUGAUUUUUUGUUCUCUCUAUAAAUAGACAAUGUUUUUAUUUUUUUUUUUGAGAAUUGCAUUUCUGUGACUUUUUGAUCUGAAAUAUUUUGAUUUAUGGAUUAUCAUGUGCUUGUCUAAAUAUUUUGAUCUGAAAUAUGUAAGUGUACAUGAUAGAUGAGCUUCUUAGUGACAUUCCAGCUGCAAUUAUUUAGGCAUUCAUCCUCCAUCAUGAUAGAUGAGUAUCCUAGUGAAAUUACAGCUGAUUAUUCAGGUAUUCAUCCUCCAUCAUUUGUUCUCUCUAUAAAUAGACAAUGUUUCAGGUUGCCCACUUCAUUUAUAUCUUGAUCUAUAAAAUGUAGGGAUCUGAUGAAUAAUUAAUGAAAUUUGGAAGUUUAAAAUCAGAAAAUGCAUCUGUGAUUGAUGAAAUAGACAAUGAUUUUUUGUUCUCUCUAUAAAUAGACAAUGUUUUUUUUUUUUUUUUUUUUUUGAGAAUUGCAUAUCUGUGACUUGUUUCAUCACUCAUUUUGAUCUGAAAUAUGCAAGUUAUUCAGGCAUUCAUCCUCCAUCGUAAUUAUUCAGGCAUUCAUCCUCCAUCAUGAUAGAUGAGCAUCCUAGUGAAAUUACAACUGAUUAAUUAUUCAGGCAUUCAUCCUCCGUCAUGAUAGAUGAGCAUCCUAGUGAAAUUACAACUGAUUAAUUAUUCAGGCAUUCAUCCUCCGUCAUGAUAGAUGAGCAUCCUAGUGAAAUUACAGCUGAUUAAUUAUUCAGGCAUUCAUCCUCCAUCAUGAUAGAUGAGCAUCCUAGUGAAAUUACAGCUGAUUAAUUAUUCAGGCACUGAUAUCACGAUAGAUGAGCAUCCUAGUGAAAUUACAGCUGAUGGAGCUACUUUCCCAGUGGUGGUUGGAAAGCUUAGUGGUAGAUUACCAAAAAAAAUUGGUAGAAAUGAAACUUAUGAAUAGAAAGUCAACGAUCUCAUGCUACAGACGCAUAUGGCAUCCAAGGAAAAUGAAUGCAGAACUCACGUGCCAAAAGCAACUUGAUUCAUAUUCUUAUCCUGAACCAUAAAAGUAUCGAGAUCUUAUGAAUUAUUGAACGAAGUUUGGAAGUUUGAAAACGAUUUAAAUAAAAUGGGACAUUGCAAGAAUCGAACUCGAGACCUCUUGCACCCAAAGCAAGAAUCAUACCACUAGACCAUAGACCAAAUGUCCUGUUUGAAUUAUAUGAGUUCAUAAUUUAUUAUUUACUGUAAUUACGAUUAUAGAUGUUGGAAUCAUGGUACAAUUGACUAAUGUGUAGCUAGUGGAGCUACUUUCUCAAUGGUGUUGGUAAGAUUAUUGGUAAAUUACAA